CCAACCUGGUCGGUGCAGCUCCCGGGAAGACGGUCCACGGGAUGCAGGGUCACAUCAGUGAAACAGGCUUCAACCUGGCUGUGACCGGACACAACACUUUCAACCUCCCCGGACAGACGAGACAUUUGAUUGACACGCUGAGAGGAUAUGAGGGUCUGAACUUCGAGGAGGACUGGAAGCUUCUGACCAUUCUCAUGGGCAUGAAUGAC